AGCCUGUGGUGAAUUCAUUAUAUUUCUGACACCUCGUACGAGUAUUGGUAUAGCAAUACUUGAUUAGAAGUGAUAUCUGAGGCUC